rnacentral:lncRNA from 1 species
CUCUCCUAGUGUUCUCUCCCAGCCUGUUUUUGCACUUUUCUCUCAUUACCUUCUCUUCUCCCCCACCCCCAUCCAUUUCUUCUUCUGAUAGGCAUUUUAUUUCCAAAUUUCCAGGCUCACUUAGAAUUGAAGUGUAAGGCCAAUGCUUCUGUCGGUGAUGGAUGGCAUUUUGGGGAAGAGAAAAGAGGGAAGGGGGCCACGGGCAAGGAGGCCUGGGCAUCAGACGUAAGCAGGGCUCAGUCAGGAAGCCUGGGCACAGCUCCCGGCCCUGCCAAAGGCUGACUUUCUCGCAGGGCCUGGGGCAGGACUGGCCAUACUGAGUGGACGAACCAAAUCCUUCGGAGAGGACCUUGAUUCUCUUAGCAAGCUGUGGUCCCUCUCUCUCUCAGGCAUCGCUAUCUGAUAGGGAUUUUUUCUUUUAUUUAAUCACCUGGCAUUUGGUCCACACCUUUUUUGUGGUGGGCACCUCUUAGGGGCCAGGGACACAGGAAGGAUCAGACACGGUGCUGCUUGAAAGAAGUCUCUGUGAAGUGGGAGACACACAGGCUUAGAUGUGCACAACUGUGGACAAGUGCUCUGAUAGAAGCAGGUGAUCUGACAGGUGAGGGCUGUGGAGGGAGUGGGGGAAGGCUUCCCUGAGGAGGUGACAUGUGAGCUGAGUGUGGAAGGUCUAGGAGGAGACAGCCAAGUUGGGAUGGGGAUGUCAGUCUGCUCGGGCUGCCAUAACAAAACGCCAUAGACUGGGUGGCUUAAAACACAGGAAAUUAUUUCCACGGUUCUGGAGGCAAAUGUCGGGGGUCACAUGCCAGCUCGGUGGAGUGCUGGUGAGGGCUCCCCUCCUGGCCUGCAGACAGCUGCCUUCUCAUUAUAUCCUCACAUGGUGGUGAGGGUGCACAGGGAGAGAGCUCUCUGGGGUCUCUUUUUGUCAGGAUGCUAAUCCCAUCCUGGGGGCCUCACCGUCAUGACCUCCUCUAACCCUAAUCACCUCCCAAAGGCCCCGCCUCCUAAUACUAUCCCACGGAGGGGUUAGGGCAUCAACAUAAGAAUUUGGAGGGGGCCACAGUUCAGUCCACAGCAGGAUGUGUGUGUGUGGAGUGAAGCAGGUACUUCAGGCUGAAGGAAUGCCUGGGCAAAGGCAAGGAGACAGGACUCGGUGCCACCAGUCAGGGAACUAGAAGCAACUCAAUAUGUUGAGGAAGCAGGGCAGGCUCUCGGGGCUGGGAUGAGAGAUGAGGCUGGAGUGACCCAUGUGCCAUGCAAAGGCUUUUGAGUUUUAACUCGAGGCCCUGUGCUUCCCCAGACUGACCGGGCCUCAACAUCACCUGGGAAUCCUGGAAGGAAACAGGUUCCUGGGCCUUGCUCCAACCUAAGGAACCCGAAUCUGCAUAGCUCACAUGGCGCCGUAUUUCCAACGUUCAGAGCACAUUGGAAAGUUGGGAGGAAGGAUGAGGCUUGUGUUUUCACUCACAAACUCCCUCCAGAAGAUGAUAAUGAAAGUGUCUGACGCAUAAGGAAAUAAAUAAGAUGGUUAUGUGCCCAGCUCAAGGGCUAAGGUGUUGGUCAAGACCACACCCGAGGGGCUGCCAGUCACAGGGUGGGGUCCAAGCUCCUCACCAGACCCAACCUCCCCUGCUCUGCAACCUCAUCCUUCCCCUGUCUUUCCUGGGUUAAAUUUUACACUUAGUAACACUGAAACCAGGCAGUUUCACACCUCCGAGCCUGCAUCUAUGCUCAUCUCUUUACCUGAAACGUCUUCUCUCACCCCUCCCCCUCUGUCUGGCUAAUUCCUGCUCAUUCUCCAAGACCCAGUUCUCCGUGGUACCCCUUCUCACCCAACACACACCCCUCAAUCUAGCCUUUUCUGUGAGCAACCUACACCACCUUAUGCUGACCUGGUUGGGAGCACAUAUAUAGAAAGUUUGUGUGCCUGCCCCUCCCCAACUCCCCAGUUCCUCAAAAGUAGGGUCUGUGGUGCUAAAUUUUGUCUCUGCAGUCUCUGACAUAUCUAGGAGCUCAACAUAUAUCUGCUAAAUCAAACAGAAUCCAGAUGAACAAGAAUGCCCUCGACAUGUAGAUGUCACAAUUCAACAGCAUUCUAAGGGUUUGCUCGUGCUCAUGGGUAUCUUUAGGACAGGUGGCUUUUAAGGCCUCAAUAUAGAUGUAACACCCUACUCCCCUCGCACAAAAAACAAAAAAACAAAAAAAACUUUAACCCAAA